GGAGGGAUGGCCGAGUGGUUGAAGGCGGCGGUCUUGAAAACCGUUGUGCCGAGAGGUACCGUGGGUUCGAAUCCUACUCCCUCCGCCA
rnacentral:tRNA from 1 species